GAUGAACGCUGGCGGCGUGCCUAAUACAUGCAAGUCGAGCGAACAGACGAGGAGCUUGCUCCUCUGACGUUAGCGGCGGACGGGUGAGUAACACGUGGAUAACCUACCUAUAAGACUGGGAUAACUUCGGGAAACCGGAGCUAAUACCGGAUAAUAUAUUGAACCGCAUGGUUCAAUAGUGAAAGACGGUUUUGCUGUCACUUAUAGAUGGAUCCGCGCCGCAUUAGCUAGUUGGUAAGGUAACGGCUUACCAAGGCAACGAUGCGUAGCCGACCUGAGAGGGUGAUCGGCCAAACUGGAACUGAGACACGGUCCAGAUUCCUACGGGAGGCAGCAGUAGGGAAUCUUCCGCAAUGGGCGAAAGCCUGACGGAGCAACGCCGCGUGAGUGAUGAAGGUCUUCGGAUCGUAAAACUCUGUUAUUAGGGAAGAACAAAUGUGUAAGUAACUAUGCACGUCUUGACGGUACCUAAUCAGAAAGCCACGGCUAACUACGUG
rnacentral:rRNA from 1 species